AUUGAACGCUGGCGGAAUGCUUUACACAUGCAAGUCGAACGGUAGAGGGGGCAACCCCUCGAGAGUGGCGAACGGGUGAGUAAUAUAUCGGAACGUGCCCAGUCGUGGGGGAUAACGUAGCGAAAGUUACGCUAAUACCGCAUACGAUCUAAGGAUGAAAGCGGGGGAUCGCAAGACCUCGCGCGAUUGGAGCGGCCGAUAUCAGAUUAGGUAGUUGGUGGGGUAAGGGCUCACCAAGCCAACGAUCUGUAGCUGGUCUGAGAGGACGACCAGCCACACUGGAACUGAGACACGGUCCAGACUCCUACGGGAGGCAGCAGUGGGGAAUUUUGGACAAUGGACGCAAGUCUGAUCCAGCCAUUCCGCGUCCAGGAUGAAGGCCCUCGGGUUGUAAACUGCUUUUGUACGGAACGAAAAGGUCUCUCUUAAUACGGGGGACUCAUGACGGUACCGUAAGAAUAAGCACCGGCUAACUACGUGCCAGCCGCCGCGGUAAAAC
rnacentral:rRNA from 1 species